rnacentral:rRNA from 1 species
CCUAUUCUUGACAUCCAGAGAACUUUCCAGAGAUGGAUUGGUGCCUUCGGGAACUCUGAGACAGGUGCUGCAUGGCUGUCGUCAGCUCGUGUUGUGAAAUGUUGGGUUAAGUCCCGUAACGAGCGCAACCCCUAUCCUUAUUUGCCAGCGCGUAAUGGCGGGAACUCUAAGGAGACUGCCGGUGACAAACCGGAGGAAGGUGGGGAUGACGUCAAGUCAUCAUGGCCCUUACGAGUAGGGCUACACACGUGCUACAAUGGCCGGUACAGAGGGCUGCAAACCUGCGAAGGCAAGCUAAUCUCAGAAAACCGGUCGUAGUCCGGAUCGCAGUCUGCAACUCGACUGCGUGAAGUCGGAAUCGCUAGUAAUCGUGAAUCAGAAUGUCGCGGUGAAUACGUUCCCGGGCCUU